rnacentral:misc_RNA from 1 species
GUAGGUGAACCUGCGGAAGGAUAAUUGUCGUGACCCUGACCAAAACAGACCGCGCACGCGUCAUCCUGCCUGCUGGGCGGCGGCACUGUUUGUCGCCCGGCCAAAGUCCUCGAAAACUUCCUCUCUUCGGAGGGGCGGCUCGGGGUAAAAGAACCCACGGCGCCGAAGGCGUCAAGGAACACUGUGCCUAACCCGGGGACGCGGCUCGCUUGCUGGCCCCGCACCUUGGGUUGCAAUGCUAUAUAAUCCACACGACUCUCGGCAACGGAUAUCUCGGCUCUC